rnacentral:rRNA from 1 species
CCUACGGGAGGCUGCAGUGGGGAAUCUUGCGCAAUGGGCGAAAGCCUGAUCCAGCCAUGCCGCGUGAGUGAAGAAGGCCCUCGGGUUGUAAAGCUCUUUUGUCCGGAAAGAAAAGCGUCGGGUUAAUACCCCGAUGUCCUGACGGUACCGGAAGAAUAAGCACCGGCUAACUUCGUGCCAGCAGCCGCGGUAAUACGAAGGGUGCAAGCGUUACUCGGAAUUACUGGGCGUAAAGCGCACGUAGGCGGGUAUUUAAGUCAGGGGUGAAAUCCCGGAGCUCAACUCCGGAACUGCCUUUGAUACUGGGUACCUAGAGUAUGGAAGAGGUAAGUGGAAUUCCGAGUGUAGAGGUGAAAUUCGUAGAUAUUCGGAGGAACACCAGUGGCGAAGGCGGCUUACUGGUCCAUUACUGACGCUGAGGUGCGAAAGCGUGGGGAGCA